rnacentral:rRNA from 1 species
ACUCAUAAGCGGAGGAAAAGAAACUAACCAAAGGAUUCCCCUAGUAACUGCGAGUGAAGCGGGAAAAGCUCAAAUUUAAAAUCUGGCAGUCUUUUGGCUGUCCGAGUUGUAGUCUGGAGAAGUGCUUUCCGCGCUGGACCGUGUAUAAGUCUCUUGGAACAGAGCGUCAUAGAGGGUGAGAAUCCCGUCUUUGACACGGACUACCAGUGCUUUGUGAUGCGCUCUCAAAGAGUCGAGUUGUUUGGGAAUGCAGCUCAAAAUGGGUGGUGAAUUCCAUCUAAAGCUAAAUAUUGGCGAGAGACCGAUAGCGAACAAGUACCGUGAGGGAAAGAUGAAAAGCACUUUGGAAAGAGAGUUAAACAGUACGUGAAAUUGCUGAAAGGGAAACGCUUGAAGUCAGUCGCGUCGUCCGGAACUCAGCCUUGCUUUUGCUUGGUGCACUUUCCGGUUGACGGGUCAGCAUCGAUUUUGACCGUCGGAAAAGGGCUGGAGUAAUGUGGCACCCUCGGGUGUGUUAUAGACUCUGGUCGCAUACGGCGGUUGGGAUCGAGGAACGCAGCGCGCCGUAAGGCAGGGGUUCGCCCACUUUCGCGCUUAGGAUGCUGGCAUAAUGGCUUUAAACGACCCGUCUUGAAACACGGACCAAGGAGUCUAACAUACCUGCGAGUGUUUGGGUGGAAAACCCGAGCGCGUAAUGAAAGUGAAAGUUGAGACCCCUGUCGUGGGGGGCAUCGACGCCCGGACCUGACGUUCUCUGAAGGAUCCGCGGUAGAGCAUGUAUGUUGGGACCCGAAAGAUGGUGAACUAUGCCUGAAUAGGGUGAAGCCAGAGGAAACUCUGGUGGAGGCUCGUAGCGAUUCUGACGUGCAAAUCGAUCGUCAAAUUUGGGUAUAGGGGCGAAAGACUAAUCGAAGCAUUACAUUGCCC